GCGCAUGCGCGGCGCGAGCGGCCGGGCCCCACAGCCGCAGGUCGUUGCUGUCUCUCUUUUGGCCUGCUGCCAUCCGCGUAAGACAUGACUUACUCCUCCGUGCCUUCCACCAUGAUUGUGAGGCUUCCCCAGCCAUGAGGAACUGUUACAAAAACCUGAGACUUCCAUUUUGCUGGAAACUUCUUUUCCUCUUGCACACUCACUCUGCGACUCUGUGUGGAGAGCUCCAUGUGACAAGGGAGGUCUGCAGCCUAAGCAACUGAGACCUCAGCCCAACAGCCCUCAAAGAACUGGAUCUUCAAACAACCACAUGAGUGACCUAGAAGCAAAUCUGUCACCAGUGCUCUUGAGACGGGCUGAAGUAUUUAAUCACCGGCACAAAAUGUCCCAGUGUUCUGUUCUCCUGCUGUGGAAAUUUUAGAGAAAAGAUCAUGAUCUAAGAGUCUACAAGACCAGAGCAGCCUGAAUUGCUGAGCUGCCUGGUGGAGAAUAGCAGCAUUGGGUGGUUCCCAGGAUUCUUAAAAGGACUUUACAAAGGCCUGGCCUAAUCACUUAAGAGCUCUUAAGGAGUGAAUGGGCUCUUCCUGAAAAAAGAGCUUCUGCUAACCCUGAAAAGCAAGCAACAACCCUGUGAACUGCUAUGGAGAGAGAUGGCCUCUAACAGCUGAGGACCUCAGUCCUACAACCACAAGAAACUGAUUUCUGCCAACAACAUGAAUGAACUUGGAAAAGGCCCCUGAGCUCCAGAUGAGAACACCCAGGUCAACUCAGGUCAUGAGCAGAGAACCCUGUUAUAUUCUCCUUGGCUUGUGAUCCAUAAACAAUGAGAUUAUAAAUGUGUGGUUUUUAAGCCAUUAGGUUUGUGGUAACUUGUUACACAAGCCUCUUUUAGAUUCUUUACAUACACAAAUAUAUUCUAAACGAAUAAUGAGUCUUCCUUUCCCAUCUUUAUACCAUUUACUUCUUAUUCUUCCCUUACCGCUUUAAGACCUCUAGUAUAAAGUUGACUAGAAAAGGUGGUAGUGGCAUUAUUGUGUAGUUCUUUAUAUCAAAGGGAAGAUUUUCAAUGUUUUCAUGUUAAGUAUGACAUUUACUGUAGGUUUUUCAUAGAUGCUCUUUAAUCAGUUUAAGCAAUUCUUGUCUAUCCCUAGAAUUAUUGUCAGGAAUAAAUGUUGACUUUUAUCGAACACUGUUUCUGCACCUUUUAAAAAUAUCAUAUUUUUUCCUUCAAAUGGUUACUGUGUUGAAUUAUAUUAGCAGACAUUCUAAUGUUAAAGUAACCUAUCAUUCCAGAGAAAAGGAGGUGAGAAUAGCAGUUUAGUUAUGAUGCUGUAUCCCUUUUAUAAAUUCUUGGAUGCAAUUUGCCAAUAUUUGGUCUAAGAUUUUUGCAUUAUGUUAAUGACUGGAAAUGAGUCUUAAUUUUCCUUUAUUUUUCUGGCUUCUUUGUGUUUCGAUAUCAAGAAUAUGCAAGUCUCAUGCAAUAAAUUCUAUGGAAGAGUUGGUUAAGAUUGCAUUUUUUUCCUUACAUGUCUUAUAGAAAUGAGUGGUAAAAUAUCUGAAAAUGGAGGACUACUGAAGAAUUGGAUAUGGUUUCUUCAGGUUGUAAAGAAAAAUAUGUUAAGUAUGCUAACACUUAGAAACACUCAAAUAUAGCAAGCUAAAAUUGUUUAAUCAAUUAACCACUUUUGUGGAAACAUAUCUGCAGAAAUGGAAUGAGACUAUAAAUUAGUGUUUCCUGAACAUAUUUCACUAUCAAACACUUCUUCAAUUUCAGUUUGUAAAAUAAAGUGUAUUUUGUUUAUUUAAAACUUUCUUCUUUCAUUCAAAGAUCCAAGACAAAGAAUGUGUUUAGUCUAGCGUUUUAUAAACAUGAAAUCCUGAAUAUGACAAAUGCAUGCUGAAUUUCAAUAUUUAAUCGGCAU
ensembl:lncRNA TMX4-AS1 TMX4 antisense RNA 1